rnacentral:lncRNA from 1 species
CUAAAGAAGAGAAGGAAAAGACAUUUUGAAAGACCUGUGUCAUUGAACCACCUAUGCAGCUUUAAUCUACUAAGAGCAGUCUCUCUCUGGGUGCCAUGGAUGCUGUUUAUCUGUGGGUGAAUUACCACUGGCCACACCCAGGGCAGACAUCAAAGGGGCCCAAAGUCCCCCAACAGCAAGUGGCCGAGCUUUGUUGGAGCUUCUGGAAACUGGUUGAUAAAAGUCUGUCAAAGCCAACAGUUGUUUGCUCUUUCUGGAGAAGUUCUCCCAAGGUACCAUAAAUGGGACCUGGAGACAUUUAUGUCCAUGGAGUGUGGACACUGUUGGAGAUCUGUGUGACCUGUUCUGAACAGGCCACCUCCCAUCUUCUGCUUGGAAGUCCAGCCACCAGGUCCACUGUGUCACCGAAGCAUCGCUGAGGCUCCCAUGAGCAACUCUUACAUGACGUUAGUCAGAACAGCCACAAGCUGGACACGGUCCUUCGCGGCUGCAGAGGACCACGUCCACAACCUGCAGGCCCCGCACUCGGGGGACUCCACUUGGCAGUAAAGCAAGAUAAAUUAAUGAUGCUCUCAGAAACAGACCAAGCUGAGACCUGUCGUGCUGAGUGAGUGACGCAGUCCCCUGAGGGCAUGUACUGCACCAUCCUGUGUAUACACAGUCCCAUCCCAGGGUAUAAGAGAUCAGGGAACGCCCUGGGACGAGCUGGCAGGUGACAGGAAGGAAACCUGUGGAGUGAGGCACAGUCUAGAUGCUGAAAGGCAAUGGACAACCCAGGUGCGUUCUCUGGUCACACCUGAGCCAACUUACACAUGAGAUGUCCCCUUUUAUAGGUCUCACAGGAAAUGCUAUAAGCAAACAUUAAAUUUUGGUUAACAAUGCGUGCUGAAAUUCGUAGAGCGAAGUGCGCCUGUCGUUUUGAGAAGCACCACAAAGUUAGCUGUGUUCCACUGCUGGAUUUCAGGAGGAGGACAGGGUGAAUGUGCACUAAAUACAGUAUUAAUGGCAAACAAGUGUGAGUCUGGGGGUGCUCACGUGCAUUACUCUCAAUCCUGUGCUAUGUUUUUUUAUUAGUUGCGCAUAACAA